rnacentral:rRNA from 1 species
UACGAAGGGGGCUAGCGUUGCUCGGAAUCACUGGGCGUAAAGGGUGCGUAGGCGGGUCUUUAAGUCAGGGGUGAAAUCCUGGAGCUCAACUCCAGAACUGCCUUUGAUACUGAAGAUCUUGAGUUCGGGAGAGGUGAGUGGAACUGCGAGUGUAGAGGUGAAAUUCGUAGAUAUUCGCAAGAACACCAGUGGCGAAGGCGGCUCACUGGCCCGAUACUGACGCUUAUGCACGAAAGCGUGGGGAGCAAACAGG